UACGUAGGUGGCGAGCGUUGUCCGGAUUUACUGGGCGUAAAGAGCGCGCAGGCGGUCGUAUAAGUCGAAUGUGAAAGCCCCUGGCUCAACUAGGGAGAGUCAUUCGAUACUGUUCGACUCGAAGGCAGGAGAGGGAAGUGGAAUUCCGGGUGUAGUGGUGAAAUGCGUAGAUAUCCGGAGGAACACCGGUGGCGAAGGCGGUUCUCUGGCAAUGUUCUGACGCUGAGGAGCGAAAGUGUGGGGAGCAAACAGG
rnacentral:rRNA from 1 species